UAUACCCAGCCCAACUUCUUAUACCAAUUCUCCUCUUUAACAAGGAGAUCAGAAAUAACAAGAAAAACACGCUUCUGGUUUCCAGAUCACGUACAACGAACAGAAAAUCACAACCAGCUGAAACCCGACCAUCUCCCAUCUAUUUUUGAACUGACCCAGGCCCAACCCAUCAGUUUUUUCUUCGCACGCAUCUCACGCAUCAGUUGGACGAGCAAAGGAUCCAAAAACCUUCUAGAAACAAGCUAGGUGUCACCCCCAAUGUCCAAAUUCCACGAAUCUCAAGAUAACGUGUAUGAAUUCGUACAUAUUUGGUAAAUUUUUGUUGGUUCUUGGGGAAAUUAUCCAUUUCCCCCAGUUUCUAUUGGCGACUUUUUGAAAGUCGUUCAAGAAAAUCCAAAUUAGGGUACAAUCUGUUAUGAUCCUUAUUUUUGAUGUUUGAAUUCCCCCAAAAAUAUCUCUAAAAUACCCACAAUUCCAUCUUCUAUAUAAGAAUCCAUUGGGUCGGUAUUUUGAGGGAUUAGAAAAAUUGGGUUGGAAAAUUUUCUAAAAAACUAGAUUGGAAAAAUUUUCUUUUGGGUCAAGAAAAAAGGGUUUUGGGAAAGAGCAACUUUUGUUCGGCAAAUAUUUUAGGAAGUAGCAGUUAGUUUAGUCAAAAUUCAUGUAUCGGCAUCAAACUUUCCGGUGGUGGUGGAGUCCGACGUCAGCUCGUAGUCCCGUUUUGCUGCUCCCUAAUAGUUGUUUUAUAUUAGAGCAACGGAUUAUUAGGGUAAAAGAGUAUGGGAUGACCUCUUCUUAUGGAGUGAUGAACACCAAACCGGCACCAAAUUUAUCUCGACGUGCGGCACCAUUAAAGUACAUCUUUCACGAGCGUAUGGCUUCAAUAACUAUUGCAUCUUCAUCAGGAAGUUCAUCGCUCAGUUCCAAAUCAUCAGGCAUUGGGUGGUUGACCAAGAAAUCAGCCAAUGCUUGUCCCUUUAUGGCCUUUUGGGGAACAUACACAAUCUCAAACUAUUGAAAUUGAAGGUACCGUCUUGAAAGUCGGUCCCUAAGGACUGGUUUCGACAUUACAAACUUGAUGGGAUUCACCCUAGACACAAGACGAACAAUAUGAGCCUGAAAGUAGUGCUUCGUCUUUUGAAUUCAGAAGGCUAAUGCCAAACAUAACUUUUCAAUUGGAGAAUACUUUAGCUC